rnacentral:rRNA from 1 species
UACGUAGGGGGCAAGCGUUAUCCGGAUUUACUGGGUGUAAAGGGAGCGUAGACGGCAGAGCAAGUCUGAAGUGAAAGCCCGCGGCCCAACUGCGGGACUGCUUUGGAAACUGCCCGGCUAGAGUGCUGGAGAGGUAAGCGGAAUUCCUAGUGUAGCGGUGAAAUGCGUAGAUAUAAGGAAGAACACCAGUGGCGAAGGCGGAUGACUGGACGGCAACUGACGGUGAGGCGCGAAAGCGUGGGGAGCAAACAGG